rnacentral:rRNA from 1 species
UGAAUACGAGAUGCUACGGCGUCGAAGCAGUCUAUGUCAUACUUCCAAGAAAAGCUCGCACUGUCAUAAACAAAUAAUGCCUGUACCAUAACCGACACAGGUGGGUAGGUAGAGUAUACUAAUGGGCGCGAGAUAACUCUCUCUAAGGAACUCGGCAAAAUGACUCCGUAACUUCGGGAGAAGGAGUGCCUUAUUUAUAAGGUUGCAAUAACAAGAUCCAAGCAACUGUUUAUCAAAAACACAGGUCUCCGCUAAGUCGUAAGACGAUGUAUGGGGGCUGACGCCUGCCCAGUGCCAGAAGGUUAAAGAAGUUGGUUAGCAUUCGCGAAGCUGAUAACUGAAGCCCUGGUGAACGGCGGCCGUAACAAUAACGGUCCUAAGGUAGCGAAAUUCCUUGUCGGGUAAGUUCCGACCCGCACGAAAGGCGUAAUGAUUUGGAUACUGUCUCGGAGAGGGGCUCGGUGAAAUAGACUUGUCUGUGAAGAUGCGGACUACCUGCACCAGGACAGAAAGACCCUAUGAAGCUUUACUGUAACUUGAGAUUGAAAUUGGACUUUACUUGCGCAGUAUAGGUGGGAGGCGUUGAUAAUAUUCUUGCGGGAUUAUUUGAGCCAUCAGUGAGAUACCACUCUUGUAAUGUUAGAUUUCUAACUUUGUAUCAUUAUCUGGUCAAAGGACAGUUUCAGGCGGGCAGUUUGACUGGGGCGGUCGCCUCCUAAACGGUAACGGAGGCGCACAAAGGUUUCCUCUGAACGGGUAGAAAUCGUAUCUAGAGUGUAAAGGCAUAAGGAAGCUUGACUGUGAGACCUACAAGUCGAGCAGGGACGAAAGUCGGUCUUAGUGAUCUGACGGUGCUGAGUGGAAAGGCCGUCACUCAACGGAUAAAAGUUACUCUAGGAUAACAGGCUGAUCUCCCCCAAGAGUUCACAUCGACGGGGAGGUUUGGCACCUCGAUGUCGGCUCAUCGCAUCCUGGGGCGGUAGUACGUCCCAAGGGUUGGGCUGUUCGCCCAUGAAAGCGGUACGCGAGCUGGGUUCAGAACGUCGUGAGACAGUUCGGUCCAUAUCCGGUGUAGGCGUUAGAAUAUUGAGAGGAGCCUUCUUUAGUACGAGAGGACCGAGAAGGACAUACCUCUGGUGUACCAGUUAUCGUGCCAACGGUAAACGCUGGGUAGCUAUGUAUGGAGUGGAUAACCGCUGAAAGCAUCUAAGUGGGAAGCCCACCUCAAGAUAAGUAUUCUC